rnacentral:rRNA from 1 species
AUUGAACGCUGGCGGCAUGCCUUACACAUGCAAGUCGAACGGCAGCACGGGAGCAAUCCUGGUGGCGAGUGGCGAACGGGUGAGUAAUAUAUCGGAACGUGCCCAGUCGUGGGGGAUAACGCAGCGAAAGCUGUGCUAAUACCGCAUACGAUCUAUGGAUGAAAGCGGGGGAUCGCAAGACCUCGCGCGAUUGGAGCGGCCGAUGUCAGAUUAGCUAGUUGGUGGGGUAAAGGCCCACCAAGCCGACGAUCUGUAGCUGGUCUGAGAGGACGACCAGCCACACUGGGACUGAGACACGGCCCAGACUCCUACGGGAGGCAGCAGUGGGGAAUUUUGGACAAUGGGCGCAAGCCUGAUCCAGCAAUGCCGCGUGCAGGAAGAAGGCCUUCGGGUUGUAAACUGCUUUUGUACGGAGCGAAAAGGCUCUCUCUAAUACAGGGGGCUCAUGACGGUACCGUAAGAAUAAGCACCGGCUAACUACGUG